rnacentral:lncRNA from 1 species
GGUUACAAUUUGGUGACCGACAGUAUUUAGUUUGAAAAAUACUUAUGAAUGAAUAACAUUUUUCAGUUCCUUUGGAAGUUUUGUUGAAAUAUUUACCCCCGAAAACAUUUCUUUUGAAUUUGCGAUUGGUGGUAAUAGUCCAGUCAGUCUAUGCAGGAAACGCUUACAAACUAAAACUACGAAAAUAAAACCUACUUUUAGGGGUUUGUGUCCAUGAUAUCACCAUAUAUAAGUCUUCCACGUUAAUAUUGGCGGAAAAAGACAAUUUUGGGAUAAAAUCAUAGCUCUUUUUUUUUAAUCAAUGAAAACUGAGAAAUUAGAAAUUUU